rnacentral:rRNA from 1 species
AUUGAACGCUGGCGGCAGGCCUAACACAUGCAAGUCGAACGAGUGGCGGACGGGUGAGUAAUGUCUGGGAAACUGCCUGAUGGAGGGUGAUAACUACUGGAAACGGUAGCUAAUACCGCAUACCAUCGGAUGUGCCCAGAUGGGAUUAGCCAGUAGGUGGGGUAACGGCUCACCUAGGCGACGAUCCCUAGCUGGUCUGAGAGGAUGACCAGCCACACGGGAAUUGAGACACGGUCCCGAAUCCUACUGUAGGCAGCAGGUGGGAAUAUUGCACAAUGGGCGCAAGCCUGAUGCAGCCAUGCCGCGUGGAUGAAGAAGGCCUUCGGGUUGUAAAGUACUUUCAGCGGGGAGGCGUUACCCGCAGAAGAAGCACCGGCUAACUCCGUGCCAGCAGCCGCGGGAAUAC